CGCCUGGGGAGUGCGGCCGCAAGGUUAAAACUCAAAUGAAUUGACGGGGGCCCGCACAAGCGGUGGAGCAUGUGGUUUAAUUCGACGCAACGCGAAGAACCUUACCUGGCCUUGACAUCCAGAGAGCUUUCCAGAGAUGGAUUGGUGCCUUCGGGAACUCUGAGAUAGGUGCUGCAUGGCCGUCGUCAGCUCGUGUCGUGAGAUGUUGGGUUAAGUCCCGUAACGAGCGCAACCCCUAUCCCUGGUUGCUAGCAGGUAAUGCUGAGAACUCCAGGGAGACUGCCGGUGACAAACCGGAGGAAGGUGGGGAUGACGUCAGGUCAUCAUGGCCCUUACGGCCAGGGCUACACACGUGCUACAAUGGCGCGUACAGAGGGCUGCCAACUCGCGAGAGUGAGCCAAUCCCUUAAAACGCGUCGUAGUCCGGAUCGGAGUCUGCAACUCGACUCCGUGAAGUCGGAAUCGCUAGUAAUCGCGAAUCAGAAUGUCGCGGUGAAUACGUUCCCGGGCCUUGUACACACCGCCCGUCACACCAUGGGAGUGGAUUGCACCAGAAGUAGUUAGUCUAACCUUCGGGAGGACGAUUACCACGGUGUGGUUCAUGACUGGGGUGAAGUCGUAACAAGGUAACCGUA
rnacentral:rRNA from 1 species